rnacentral:rRNA from 1 species
UGCCAGCCGCCGCGGUAAUACAGAGAGUGCAAGCGUUAAUCGGAAUUACUGGGCGUAAAGCGCGCGUAGGCGGAUACUUAAGUCGGAUGUGAAAGCCCUGGGCUUAACCUAGGAAUUGCACCCGAUACUGGGUAUCUAGAGUAUGGUAGAGGGAAGUGGAAUUUCCGGUGUAGCGGUGAAAUGCGUAGAUAUCGGAAAGAACAUCAGUGGCGAAGGCGACUUCCUGGAUCAAUACUGACGCUGAGGUGCGAAAGCGUGGGGAGCAAACAGGAUUAGAUA